rnacentral:rRNA from 1 species
UACGUAAGGGGCUAGCGUUGCUCGGAAUUACUGGGCGUAAAGGGCGUGUAGGCGGGCACACAAGUCGAUUGUAAAAGACCGCAGCUUAACUGCGGGCAUGCGAUCGAAACUGUGUGUCUUGAGUCUGGUGGAGGGUAAUGGAAUUCCCGGUGUAGCGGUGAAAUGCGUAGAUAUCGGGAAGAACACCGAAGGCUAAAGCAGUUAUCUAUGCCAAGACUGACGCUGAGGCGCGAAAGCAUGGGGAUCAAACAGG